rnacentral:rRNA from 1 species
AUUGAACGCUGGCGGCGUGCUUAACACAUGCAAGUCGAUCGGUAACAGGUGUAGCAAUACAUGCUGACGAGAGGCGGACGGGUGAGGAAUAUUUGGGAAUCUGCCCAUCAGCGGGGGACAACCCGGGGAAACUCGGGCUAAUACCGCAUACGCUCUACGGAGGAAAGCCGGGGACCACAAGGCCUGGCACUGAUGGAUGAGCCCAAAUCGGAUUAGCUAGUUGGCGGGGUAACGGCCCACCAAGGCGACGAUCCGUAGCUGGUCUGAGAGGACGAACAGCCACACCGGAACGGAGACACGGGCCGGACUCCAGCGGGAGGCAGCAGUGGGGAAUAUUGGACAAUGGGGGAAACCCUGACCCAGCCAUGCCGCGUGAGUGAAGAAGGCCUUCGGGUUGUAAAGCUCUUUCGGCCGGGAAGAAAUCGCACGGGCUAAUACCCUGUGUGGAUGACGGUACCGGAAUAAGAAGCACCGGCUAACUACGUGCCAGCAGCCGCCGUAACAC